rnacentral:tRNA from 1 species
GCGCAGUUAGCUCAGUUGGAUAGAGCAUUGGCCUCCGAAGCCAAGGGUCGCAGGUUCGAUUCCUGUACUGCGCGCCA